AUUGAACGCUGGCGACAUGCCUUACACAUGCAAGUCGAACGGCAGCACGGGUGCUUGCCCCUGGUGGCGAGUGGCGAACGGGUGAGUAAUACAUCGGAACAUGUCCUGUAGUGGGGGAUAGCCCGGCGAAAGCCGGAUUAAUACCGCAUACGAUCUACGGAUGACAGCGGGGGACCUUCGGGCCUCGCGCUAUCGGGUUGGCCGAUGGCUGAUUAGCUAGUUGGUGGGGUAAAGGCCUACCAAGGCGACGAUCAGUAGCUGGUCUGAGAGGACGACCAGCCACACUGGGACUGAGACACGGCCCAGACUCCUACGGGAGGCAGCAGUGGGGAAUUUUGGACAAUGGGCGAAAGCCUGAUCCAGCAAUGCCGCGUGUGUGAAGAAGGCCUUCGGGUUGUAAAGCACUUUUGUCCGGAAAGAAAUCCUUGGCCCUAAUACGGUCGGGGGAUGACGGUACCGGAAGAAUAAGCACCGGCUAACUACGUG
rnacentral:rRNA from 1 species